AAAAACAUGGCUCCUUGAAAGUUUGUAUAUAGGGAGUCGGACCUGCCCGGUGACUAAGAUGUUAAACGGCCGCGGUACCCUAACCGUGCAAAGGUAGCAUAAUCAUUUGCCUUUUAAUUGGAGGCUUGUAUGAAUGGUUUGACGAAAGCUAAGCUGUCUCUUUUAAAAUAUUUAAAAAUUAACUUUUAGGUGAAGAGGCCUAAAUGUUGUUGAGGGACAAGAAGACCCUGUUGAGCUUUAGUGAUAUGUGAGAGAGUAAAUUUGAUUAAAGUUGAUUGAAACUUUGAUUCAUGUGUUUAUAUAGUGUUUUUCUUACAAAAAUCUUUAGUUGGGGCGACUGAGGAACAGUGGAAGCUUCCUUUAAAGUUGGAAUUAUGAUCGCUGUAGUAGGUUGUUUGAUUGCAAGCAGGUUAUAGGUUUGGAUCCAGUAAAAUACUGAUUAAAGGAAAAAGUUACCACAGGGAUAACAGCGUAAUCUUUCUGGAGAGAUCUUAUCGAAAGGAGGGUUUGCGACCUCGAUGUUGGACUAAGAUAUCCUAAGGGUGUAGAAGCUCUUGAU
rnacentral:rRNA from 1 species